UAGACCAAGAACUUAUGCUAAUUCGUGGUGUUUAGUCCUAGGGCAGUCAGGACACUGAGCGCAGGCCUGGGUGCAUGUUUGUGCUGCUGUCAAAGAACCAACAUCCGGUAACAGCGUGAAGUAUUUUGUGCCUCAGCGCUGAAGAGGAAAGCUCUGUAAUGCCUUUUCCUCUAUUACUCCCUUUUCUUAUAUGCAGAUAACUCAUUGAUUCUUGCAGGUUUUCUACUGAUGGUUAGUUAAAAAUACACCGUCUUCAGGCCUUUGCUUAAUUGCUCUCUAAAUCCUUCUUAGCCUACCUGUUUUCCAGUGUAAUUUUGCUUGCCAUAAAUUAUACUUCUUUUCCAUUGCCUUCUGUCUGGCCAGAUUUUCAGUUACUGAAAAACAGCAAUUUGGAUAAAAGAAAUUCUUGAAACACAGUGUUUCACUUUCUCUUUUACCCCCUUUUUUCCUUUUCUUUUGAAAAGAGAGGGUAGUGUUUGUUUAUGGACAGGUGAGCCCUGCAGCAUUCAGUUAUGCUAUGCCUACCUAACUGCAUGGGAAGCAUAACAAUUUUAACAGCCUGGUUUCCAUUUUGAGGUACUUUUGACUAGUUUUCCUCUUUACAACAAAAGCUCAAAGUAAACUGGGAGAUAUUUUAUUUAUACAUGAUUUGUCAUGCCUAAAAAUACUGAACUUAAAUAUCCUGUGAGAUAAUUCAUGAUUCCAGUAUUGGUUUCCUACUGAAUCAACUAUUGCUCACUUAAGACGAAUCUGAGAGCAGCCUGUUCUGAAUACAAGGUGUGUGACAGGCAGGAUAAAGAAAUGAAAAAGGCAUACCUUAAAUGUGUAUUUUGAAGAGGGGAAAUACAAGUUAAUAGAAAUUUUCUAAGUUAAGAUUCUGAAUAGCAGAUCACAAGGGUACAUUAACUACCUUUUGGCUGUUCUUGAUCAAACUUAAGUUGUGUUUUUUAGUUGGAGUGUUUAUUAUAUGCAGCAAGUUCUAAUCAUGUGCUUUUUACACGCUACAGGUGUGGUAUUCUUGUUCUUCUGACCAAGUUUUGUGCAUCUUUGGAUAUACAGAAUUAUAAAGUCCUUUCUCCUAUUUCCUUGUCUUUGCAGUAUUGGUCCACUAUCAUCUUUUCUAUGUCUUUAGAGUGUUCUAUUAUGCUUUAUUAUUUCAAUGUUAACCUGCAACUACUCUUACAGGAAAAUCAAAAAAGUGUAAGUGAAAGCUAGUUUGAAAAAGCUCUGUUUGUUUACUUAGGAAACGAUGCUCUCCGAUUAUUACAAAACAAAUUUUCGAGGAAGACAUUUAUAUUUUUCAUUAUUUCCAUAGCCUUUUUCAGUAUUCUUUACCAUCCUUACGUUGUAUCAGACAUGCUUGGAUACAAAUAUCCACCAAGUAGGGUAGCGUUCCACUCCCUGGGAGCGAGCCAACCUACUCCCUAAGAAAUAGCUAUUCCCAAGUGGGAAUAUUUACUUUACGUGCCAAUCUAGCCUGACUGAAAUCUCAUUGACAAUACAUUUUCACCCUGAUUAAUAAAACAUUAACAUGAAUAUACAGCAUGUGCAACCUGACAUUUUCUUGACACCUGUAUAGCAGAGAACUGCUAAGAUGUCAGUAUUUCAAAGACAAACUGUGCGCAACUUCCCUAGCAUGAGAACAGUCCAAAUCUUGAUCUUUUUAAAAAUAACAUCACCCAGUUGAAACUGAAGAAAGAAAAUUAAUCAUUGCUGCUCCAGAAAAGAAGAUUCCCCCCCUCUUUGGUAGCUUAUGUUUACAUUAAUUUACUAGUCGUGGCAAAAAUAUAACUAGCCUGUGGAUGGCAGG